rnacentral:rRNA from 1 species
AUUGAACGCUGGCGGCAGGCCUAACACAUGCAAGUCGAGCGGAUGAAGGGAGCUUGCUCCUGGAUUCAGCGGCGGACGGGUGAGUAAUGCCUAGGAAUCUGCCUGGUAGUGGGGGAUAACGUCCGGAAACGGGCGCUAAUACCGCAUACGUCCUGAGGGAGAAAGUGGGGGAUCUUCGGACCUCACGCUAUCAGAUGAGCCUAGGUCGGAUUAGCUAGUUGGUGGGGUAAAGGCCUACCAAGGCGACGAUCCGUAACUGGUCUGAGAGGAUGAUCAGUCACACUGGAGCUGAGACACGGUCCAGACUCCUACGGGAGGCAGCAGUGGGGAAUAUUGGACAAUGGGCGAAAGCCUGAUCCAGCCAUGGCGCGUGUGUGAAGAAGGUCUUCGGAUUGUAAAGCACGUUAAGUUGGGAGGAAGGGCAGUAAGUUAAUACCUUGCUGUUUUGACGGUACCAACAGAAUAAGCACCGGCUAACUUCGUG